AUUGAACGCUGGCGGCGUGCUUAACACAUGCAAGUCGAUCGGUAACGCGGGGGCAACCCUGGCGACGAGAGGCGGACGGGUGAGGAACGCUUGGGAAUCUGCCUAUCAGCGGGGGACAACACGGGGAAACUCGUGCUAAUACCGCAUACGCUCUACGGAGGAAAGCCGGGGACCGCAAGGCCUGGCACUGAUAGAUGAGCCCAAGCCGGAUUAGCUAGUUGGCGGGGUAACGGCCCACCAAGGCGACGAUCCGUAGCUGGUCUGAGAGGACGAUCAGCCACGCUGGGACUGAGACACGGCCCAGACUCCUACGGGAGGCAGCAGUGGGGAAUAUUGGACAAUGGGGGAAACCCUGAUCCAGCGACGCCGCGUGGGUGAAGAAGGCCUGCGGGUUGUAAAGCCCUUUCGGUAGGGACGAAAGCUCUCGACCUAACACGUCGGGAGGUUGACUUAACCUACAAAAGAAGCACCGGCUAACUCUGUGCCAGCCGCCGCUGUAACAC
rnacentral:rRNA from 1 species